AAGAAGGGCCUCGGAGAAUCUCUGCCUUGAAAACAGAAAGAAAACGUUCGACUCGCUUACCCUUCUUU
rnacentral:tRNA from 1 species